rnacentral:rRNA from 1 species
UACGUAGGGCGCAAGCGUUGUCCGGAAUUAUUGGGCGUAAAGAGCUCGUAGGCGGCUUGUCACGUCGGGUGUGAAAGCCCGGGGCUUAACCCCCGGGUCUGCAUUCGAUACGGGCAGGCUAGAGUGUGGUAGGGGAGAUCGGAAUUCCUGGUGUAGCGGUGGAAUGCGCAGAUAUCAGGAGGAACACCAAUAGCGAAGGCAGCUCGCUGGGACGUUACUGACACUGAGGCGCGAAAGCGUGGGGAGCGAACAGG